AAAUGAGGAAGGAGCUGACUGUUCACUUCUCUCAGUGACACAGUCACUUGAGCUUCCCAACUGAUCAGGGCCAGGGUGAAGGGAGCCGAGAAUGCAGAGGCGCUGUUGGAGUUUGUUGCUGGUGGCCUGGCAGAUAGAUGCAGUGCUCUCCAACGCCAACUUGAUCAUUCUGCAGGCGGUACACGAUGUCCGCGAGGGUGAAACAGUGAGCCUGGGGUGUCUCAGCAGCAGGCAGCAGGAUGACCACGUGCUAACCUGGGGUUACGUGCCAGUGGGCACCACCAACAUCAAAUGGAUCUUGUCCAUGAGCCCAGGAUCGACCGACAUUGUCCAGCAUCCCGGUUUCGAGCCCCGGUUCUCUGCCACCAAUGACAGUGAUCUCACUUUAAUCAUCGAGACGGUCAAAAAGGAGGAUUCCAGGAGGUUUUACUGUCAGAGUAAGGACACUGUGGUCAAGACGAGUGAAUGGUGUGGCUGUGCGGUGAUCCUUAAUGUGAAGCCAGCUGUCACACCCAGACUACCUUCCGUUGAGCUCCUUCAGCCAUCGCCUGAGGAAGUCUCUCUCCAGGCAGACUGCAAACUGGUCUGUGUGGUAAGUGAUUUCUAUCCAGACACUGUCUCGGUGUCUUGGUACGUUGGCAGCACCCAGCUGUCCUCAGGGGUUUCAAACUCUGGGAUACUGAUGGAAUCAGAAGACAGCUACACCAUGAUCAGUGAGCUGACAGUGCCAACACACCACUGGCUUCAUGGUCUUCACUACACCUGCCUGGUUUCACAUAAAACACUGUCUUCCCCCAUCAGAAAAGUAAUCAGCAAAGAUGAUGGUUACAUUCAGGAGCCUGUGAUCCAGCUGAUCUCUCCUCGAUCCGAUGCUGUCUCUGCCGGGCAAAAUGUCACAGUGGCCUGUUUGGUGUCAGAUUUUUACCCUGCCGAUAUUUCUGUGACUUGGAGAGAUGAGAAUGGUCCAGUGGAUAUGGGAGUGACCCAGUUUGCAGUGGCUUUGGGCAGUACAGGCACCUACCGGACACUGAGCCAGCUGACUGUGCCGACAGCAGAGUGGGAGAGCAACCAUACUUACUGGUGUGAAGUGAACCAUGUGUCCCUGGUACAGACGCUACAGAGAGCGGUCACUAAGUAUCUGGCAAACGUCAUUGAAAUGCUGAGCCCGAUCACCAGACAUGAGUCAGUAUUCGAAAACACCUAAUUAAAG